UAACACCGGCUUCCGUACAAUCUCCAAAGUUAAACAACAUCGAGCCUUGUCUGUAGCUAGACGGGUGACCGCUUGGGAAUACCAGGUACUGUAAG